rfam:Schistosoma mansoni strain Puerto Rico chromosome 7, complete genome
ACACUGCUGAAGAGUCCCACAAUGGGACGAAACGGUUGUCCAGUGU